rnacentral:rRNA from 1 species
UACGGAGGGAGCUAGCGUUAUUCGGAAUUACUGGGCGUAAAGCGCACGUAGGCGGCUUUGUAAGUUAGAGGUGAAGGCCUGGAGCUCAACUCCAGAAUUGCCUUUAAGACUGCAUCGCUUGAAUCCAGGAGAGGUGAGUGGAAUUCCGAGUGUAGAGGUGAAAUUCGUAGAUAUUCGGAAGAACACCAGUGGCGAAGGCGGCUCACUGGACUGGUAUUGACGCUGAGGUGCGAAAGCGUGGGGAGCAAACAGG